GUUCCACUUGACGCUCACAACGUUCAUGGAAUCAUUUCAUCCUUGUUGUUUAUCAAACGUUAAAUAAAGAGAAAUGAUUUCUUGA